UACGAAGGGUGCAAGCGUUACUCGGAAUUACUGGGCGUAAAGCGUGCGUAGGUGGUUCGUUAAGUCUGAUGUGAAAGCCCUGGGCUCAACCUGGGAAUGGCAUUGGAUACUGGCGACCUAGAGUGCGGUAGAGGGGUGUGGAAUUCCCGGUGUAGCAGUGAAAUGCGUAGAUAUCGGGAGGAACGUCUGUGGCGAAGGCGGCGCACUGGACCACAACUGACGCUGAGGCGCGAAAGCUAGGGGAGCAAACAGG
rnacentral:rRNA from 1 species